rnacentral:misc_RNA from 1 species
AUUCAUGGCAUGACAAACAUAGCAGUCGAGAUGGAGGAGCCCUUUACGAAUGACAGAGAAUCGUUUCAGCGGUUCCUGGCAGCAUUUUGUAAACGCAUCAACGACAAUGAAGACGAUAGUGACUUUUUACCAUUUAGACCUCCCAACCGUCAUUUAACACUAGAGGAAUUACAAGGGGAAUGUUUUGAUUGGAGUUUGCGUUACUUGGGAUUACAAAAAUGCCCUCCCACACUAGCGGCAGCUAUCACAAGAGAGGUAUAUGAACAGGCCAAGAAGAUUGACUUCAGAGAGUUUGAAGAGAGACCUGAAGGCUCUAAUGAAGUGGAAGCCAAGGAGGAGAACUCCAGUAAUGAAAUCCAGCGCCCAGAAUCUGUACUGGAUGCCUUCCACACUGAUGGAACACAUCAUCGAUAUGGUGGAUGAGGUGUGCCAAAAGUGGAACAAAGACUUGCCAGUAAUACCCAUUCCAGCUCAGGUUCCAUGAGUGCUACCACUAUGAAAUCAAGAAUACUCGAAGAAAAAUGGAGGACAAGCAUGUGAUGCUCCAAGACAUGAAUACCUUAUUUGAUCUCAAGGAUUAUCCCCAGCAGUCCUACUACAGUGUGUUUGAUGGCCAUGCUGGUAUUGAAGCAGCUGUAUAUGCCGCCAAUCACUUACAUAUACAUCUGCCGACCUGUGAGAAGUUCUCCAGUGAUCCAGAAGCUGCCCUCAAGUGUUCCUACAAAGCCACAGAUGAUUACUUCAUUAGAAAAGCACAAAGAGAGGGAAUAAAGAGUGGCUGUACGGGAGUGACUGUGUUUAUUAGGGAUAAGAUGCUCUAUCUGGCCUGGCUGGGAGACUCGCAGGCCUGUCUUGUCCGAGACGGCCAUGCGCUGAGUAUCAUGAACCCGCACAAACCAGAGAGACAGGAUGAGAAAAGUCGUAUAGAGGCUCUCGGUGGAGUUGUUCUGUACAUGGGAACAUGGCGCGUCAAUGGCAAUCUGGCCGUUUCAAGGGCAAUAGGUGACUUGAACCAGAAGAAAUUUAUCUGCAGUGAUGCAGACACAACGGUCAUUGAGUUGGAGGGUACAGAGGAUUACAUCGUCUUGGCCUGUGAUGGCAUGUGGGACGGAAUAACACAGGAAGACCUCCCUAGAAUUGUGUACGACUAUCUGCAGAAAACUAAUGGAGACAAGUCUGGGGUAGCUCAGAUGCUGGUAGAACUCGCAAAAGAAAACGGGUCCACGGACAAUAUUACUGUAGUGAUAGUAUUUCUCAGGGAUAAAAUAGCAGAGCCAGUUAUCACGCCAGUUUUUUCAUUUGAUAAAGUGUCCAACUCUCAGGGAGAUGAUGAAGCGGAUCAUGUAGAUGGCAAAGAAGACUGCAAUGACUCUUCCGGGAAGAGGAAUAACUCUGAAAAUUCCUCUCCCAAUGGAAACACAAAGAUUGAUGUCAACCAGCAAAAGGAUGCAGUGGAUGAAAGUGAAGAACAUCAACAGGAAACUCAGGAUAAAGAUAACUCAGUGAAACCAGAAAAUACUCCUCCUCUUCCAACAGAUCUUGUACUUAAGAAAGAACCUGUUUUUAUCAUAGAAGACAUUGUGCAUCAGACUGUAGAUGAUCCUAUUGCAGAAAAUAAACCCAGGAGUCCUUCCCCUAGUCCUGUGUGUACAGAAACAGAAGAUGAUAAACCUGUAGUCUUUUCUAUUUCCAAGGCGGUGACUCCCACAGAGACUGUUGCAUCUUCUGUUUCCAGUGUUCAGAAAACAGGUAAAAGUUUACCAGAUGGAAUUGGAUUGUCUGCUUUCUUGUCUUACUUGCCAAAUCAGGGAAGUACUAUAUCGGAGUUUACAUAUGGAUUACAGACCAACAGCAAGCCCGGUUCUGUACCAAAAUCACUAGGUCCCUUACUUGAAGAUUUGCCAAUAGUUUCUAAUUAUGUUAUUCAGGAGGAAUUGUAUAAAAAGAAAGAGUUAGGAAAGAAAAAACC